GACGAACGCUGGCGGCGUGCUUAACACAUGCAAGUCGAACGGAAAGGCCCUGCUUUUGUGGGGUGCUCGAGUGGCGAACGGGUGAGUAACACGUGAGUAACCUGCCCUUGACUUUGGGAUAACUUCAGGAAACUGGGGCUAAUACCGGAUAGGAGCUCCUGCUGCAUGGUGGGGGUUGGAAAGUUUCGGCGGUUGGGGAUGGACUCGCGGCUUAUCAGCUUGUUGGUGGGGUAGUGGCUUACCAAGGCUUUGACGGGUAGCCGGCCUGAGAGGGUGACCGGGCACAUUGGGACUGAGAUACGGCCCAGACUGCUACGGGAGGCAGCAGUGGGGAAGAUUGCACAAUGGGCGGAAGCCUGAUGCAGCAACGCCGCGUGCGGGAUGACGGCCUUCGGGUUGUGAACCGCUUUCGCCUGUGACGAAGCGUGAGUGACGGUAAUGGGUAAAGAAGCACCGGCUAACUACGUG
rnacentral:rRNA from 1 species